rnacentral:snRNA from 2 species
GUGCUCGCUUCGGCAGCACAUAUACUAAAAUUGGAACGGUACAGAGAAGAUUAGCAUGGCCCCCACGCAAGGAUGAUGUGCAAAUUCAUGAAGCGUUCCUUAUUUUU